rnacentral:rRNA from 1 species
AUUGAACGCUGGCGGCAGGCCUAACACAUGCAAGUCGAGCGGGGUUUUCGGACCUAGCGGCGGACGGGUGAGUAAUGCGUAGGAAGCUACCCGAUAGAGGGGGAUACCAGUUGGAAACGACUGUUAAUACCGCAUAAUGUCUACGGACCAAAGUGUGGGACCUUCGGGCCACAUGCUAUCGGAUGCGCCUACGUGGGAUUAGCUAGUUGGGGGGGUAAUGGCUCACCAAGGCGACGAUCCCUAGCUGGUGUGAGAGGAUGAUCAGCCACACUGGAACUGAGACACGGUCCAGACUACUACGGGAGGAAGCAGUGGGGAAUAGUGGACAAUGGGCGCAAGCCUGAUCCAGCCAUGCCGCGUGUGUGAAGAAGGCCUUCGGGUUGUAAAGCACCUUCAGUAGGGAGGAAGGGUGUUGUGUUAAUAGCACAGCAUUUUGACGUUACCUACAGAAGAAGCACCGGCUAACUCUGUGCCAGCCGCCGCGGUAACAC